ensembl:snRNA U6 U6 spliceosomal RNA
GUGAUCACUUUGGCAGCACAUAUGCUAAAAUUGGAACGACACAGAGAAGAUUAGCAUGGCUCUUGCGCAUGGAUGACAUGCAGAUUUGUGAAGUGUUCCAUAUUUUU